rnacentral:rRNA from 1 species
UGGGGAAUUUUGGACAAUGGGCGCAAGCCUGAUCCAGCCAUGCCGCGUGAGUGAAGAAGGCCUUCGGGUUGUAAAGCUCUUUCGGACGGGAAGAAAUGGCGGGCUCUAACAUAGCCUGUCGAUGACGGUACCGUAAGAAGAAGCACCGGCUAACUACGUGCCAGCAGCCGCGGUAAUACGUAGGGUGCGAGCGUUAAUCGGAAUUACUGGGCGUAAAGCGUGCGCAGGCGGGAUAAAAAGUCAGUGGUGAAAUCCUACAGCUUAACUGUAGAACUGCCUUUGCUACUUUUAUUCUUGAGUUCGGGAGAGAGAGACGGAAUUCCAGGCGUAGUGGUGAAAUACGUAGAUAUCUGGAAUAACACCAGUUGCGAAGGCGGUCUCUUGGUCCGACACUGACGCUGAGGCGCGAAAGCGUGGGGAGCAAACA